AUACUGACGCUGGAGGUAACGAAAGUGGUGGGGAGACAAACGAGGUAUUAGACUACCCGUGGUACGUCCACCAACCGUAAACGAUAGAAUCGCCAGUCGGUCGGGUAGUAUACUAUUCGGUGACACACCUAACGGAAGUAAGCUAUUCCCGCCGUGGGGAGGUACGGUCGACAAGUAAUUAAAACUACGAAAGGUAAUUGGACGGGGGCCCGCACAAGCGGUGGAGCAUGUGGUUUAAUUCGAAGCAACGCGCAGAACCUUACCAACCCUUGACAUCCUGUGCUACACGGAGAGAUCCGUGGUUCCCUUCGGGGACGCAGUGACAGGUGCUGCAUGGCU
rnacentral:rRNA from 1 species